rnacentral:rRNA from 1 species
GGACCCGCACAAGUAGUGGAGCAUGUGGUUUAAUUCGAAGAUACGCGCAGAACCUUACCAACACUUGACAUGUUCGUCGCGACUUUAAGAGAUUAAAGUUUUCGGUUCGGCCGGACGAAACACAGGUGCUGCAUGGCUGUCGUCAGCUCGUGUCGUGAGAUGUUGGUUAAGUCCCGCAACGAGCGCAACCCUCACUUUUAGUUGCCAUCAUUUAGUUGGGCACUCUGAAAGAACUGCCAGUGAUAAGCUGGAGGAAGGUGGGGAUGACGUCAAGUCCUCAUGGCCCUUACGUGUUGGGCUACACACGUGCUACAAUGGUCGGUACAGAGAGCAGCCACUACGCGAGUAGGAGCGAA